UACGGAGGGGGCUAGCGUUGUUCGGAAUUACUGGGCGUAAAGCGCACGUAGGCGGCUUUGUAAGUUAGAGGUGAAAUCCCGAGGCUCAACCUCGGAACUGCCUUUCAUACUGGCAAUCUUGAGUCCGGGAGAGGUGAGUGGAACUCCUAGUGUAGAGGUGAAAUUCGUAGAUAUUAGGAAGAACACCAGUGGCGAAGGCGGCUCACUGGCCCGGAACUGACGCUGAGGUACGAAAGCGUGGGGAGCAAACAGG
rnacentral:rRNA from 1 species